rnacentral:rRNA from 1 species
ACCAGACUCCUACGGGAGGCAGCAGUGGGGAAUAUUGGGCAAUGGGCGCAAGCCUGACCCAGCAACGCCGCGUGAAGGAAGAAGGCUUUCGGGUUGUAAACUUCUUUUGUCAGGGACGAAGCAAGUAACGGUACCUGACGAAUAAGCCACGGCUAACUACGUGCCAGCAGCCGCGGUAAUACGUAGGGGGCGAGCGUUAUCCGGAUUCACUGGGUGUAAAGGGAGCGUGGACGGCCGUGCAAGCCAGGAGUGAAAGCCCGGGGCCCAACCCCGGGACUGCUCUUGGAACUGUGCGGCUGGAGUGCGGGAGGGGCAGGCGGAAUUCCUGGUGUAGCGGUGAAAUGCGUAGAUAUCAGGAGGAACACCGGCGGCGAAGGCGGCCUGCUGGACCGCGACUGACGUUGAGGCUCGAAAGCGUGGGGAGCGAACAGGAUUAGAUACCCGAGUA